rnacentral:rRNA from 1 species
GACGAACGCUGGCGGCGUGCCUAAUACAUGCAAGUCGAACGCAGUUGGGACGGGUGAGUAACACGUGGGUCACCUCCCAUCAGAGGGGAUAACACUUGGAAACAGGUGCUAAACCGAUACUGAUGGAUGGACCAGCGGUGCCUUAGCUAGUUGGUGAGGUAACGGCUCACCAAGGCCACGGUGCAUGGCCGACGUGAGAGGGGGUUCGGCCACACUGGGACUGAGACACGGCCCAGACUCCGUCGGGAGGCAGCAGUAGGGAAUCUUCGGCAAUGGACGAAAGUCUGACCGAGCAACGCCGCGUGAGUGAAGAAGGUUUACGGAUCGUAAAACUCUGUUGUUAGAGAAGCGGUAGCUAACCAGAAAGCCACGGCUAACUACGUGCCAGCAGCCGCGGUAAUAC